GUUUUAUUAAAGAAGCAUAUGGACAAGGAACUAUCUCUGAAAUGUUUUCAGAGCUUCUCUGGUGUUACAUGCAUAGUAAAUAUUUUCUUUAAAUUAGAUGAAAAAUGUGAGUAGUCCUUUUAUAUACUGUCAUGAAAUUGCUCUCUUUGUGUUAUGUUACAUAAUGGUUUCCUUUUAGUUUUGUGACUCUGCCGUUUUCUGGUGAAUUAUUGAUAUUUAAUCCUCUUGCUAAGACCACAGCAUUUACAUGGAAGCUUCCACUCUGGCCUUUGCAAUUCUCCUUGCCCUGAUUUUUAAUUUUUCUACAGCACUUCUCUUUCUCUUUCAAUAUACUUUAUGAGUAAUUGAUUGAUUGAUUACAUUAAAUGUUUGUUGUUAUCAUCCCCCACUGGAAUAUACUUUCUAGGAGUUUACACAUUUCUGUUUUGAUUAAUAACAUAUCCCCAGUAUCUAGAACAUGUCCUGACAUAGAGUAUUGGUUAAAUAUUUCCACUGAAUAAAUGAAGUACUUGUUUGGAUUCCAGCUUCCACUCAGUUUCUACAACUUAGAGCUGAAAUUUUACUCAGGCUUUUGAACUAAUCUGGCCCUAAAUCCAUCCACUAACACUUUCUUUCUUCCCUCUUAUCGUCCUACCUUCUUUCCGGCUGUCUGUUCUCAGCUUCCAGUCUAUUUAGGAUUUACUCUUUCCAUUGCCACCCGGAACAGUGGGAAGAGACUAUCGCUCUCUCAUUUGCUUGGUUUUGACACUUGCUUUUAGCUGUUAGUUGUGAUUCUCUGACUAAGGGCUACUACAAUCUGGUGAAUCAUUUAUCUGAAGAAGAAUUAUAGAGGCACAGUCAAUAAGUACAAAAUGGCUGCCAGUGCUUUAUGGGGGGAACAUAUGUGUGGAUGUUGGAAUUGAUAGUCCCUGGGACAGUGUGUUACAAAGGGCCCUUCUGGCAUCUGAUUAUCUUUCAACAAGAAAAGCAUGUAUACUGAUCGAUGUUAUUAUGUGGCCUUUUAAACUUUCAAUUCAUUUCAGAUGUGGCUUAAAGUAAUGUGUCAUCCAGAGUUUGUUCGCCUGUUGGAUGAUUCAUUCAUUGAUCUUCCAAACAAACAGAUGGUGGGU
rnacentral:lncRNA from 1 species